rnacentral:tRNA from 2 species
GGGCAGCUGGCGCAGUUGGCUAGCGCGCUUCCUUGACAUGGAAGAGGUCACAGGUUCAAGUCCUGUGCUGCCCACCA